AAUGUUUAUUUGGACUUCCCAGCCUUGACACUGCAACACAGGCAAUUUUCAGGGGAGAAGU
rnacentral:tRNA from 1 species